UCUGUCAAUUAAGGGAACACAGAGCAAUCUGUGAGCGCUGAAAGGGAUCCCUUCAGAGCCCUCCGUGGCUGAGAGACAGGCCCAUUGUCUGCAUGCAUGUCUCACAUAGUUUCAGAGGCCUGAUAAGCAGGCAUGCCAUGAAAAACUGCAUUAUACGGGUCUGGUUCUGCAAAGGAAGCCUCUGGCUUGCCUUCUGGGGAGUAUUCAAGAGCUAUUUUGAUGAAUUCCAAUUAAGAGUCUUCCUGACACCAGGGGAUGUAGAGGUCAAAGAAUGCGUUUAGCAGCUCAGCAACAGACCACUUGGAGGACAGAUAAAGCUGGCAAAGCAGCCUCAUAAGGAGUCCGUGUGACCAGCCCAAGAUCAACCAGAAAGUUAGUGGUAAGAGAAAUCCGUUCUCCUCAUACGCCAUUCUUUGCCCUAAACUACAGUCCUGCCCACAGCUACCGAAUUGGCCACAUGAGCAGUAGCACUUCAAUGUACAUUUCAUUGGUCAUUACAACCUGAAUCAGUGUGUGUGUGUGUGUGUGUCUUCCCACAUGUGUUUUUAAAAAGCACAUCAUUAUCGGAGACUUUAACUAGGAAUCAUUAGCUGAUUGUUAUAUAAUGAAAGAAAAACAUCUCCCCAAACCAAGCACUUAACACCAGAAAUUUAAUGUAUAUCCAAUACCUAAGUGAAGACUGAAAAACACCUAACAGCUUGACUGAGAUAAUAUAUCCACUAAACUCUAUUCUCUGUUGUGGGGUAUUAAUUAGGGUUACUCUCAGGAACUCAGAGUCCAAAGUGUAUUAAUUCAGCUGACUGGCUUCUGCAGUACUUUGGCUUUGACAUUUCUUGGAUAAGGACAAACCG